UGGGGAAUCUUCCGCAAUGGACGAAAGUCUGACGGAGCAACGCCGCGUGAGUGAAGAAGGUUUUCGGAUCGUAAAACUCUGUCUUUUGGGGCGAACGUGAGUAUGGUGAACAAUCAUAGUCAGUGACGGUACCAAAGGAGGAAGCCACGGCUAACUACGUGCCAGCAGCCGCGGUAAUACGUAGGUGGCAAGCGUUGUCCGGAAUUAUUGGGCGUAAAGAGCGCGUAGGCGGGAUAGUCAGUCUGUUGUAAAAGUGCGGGGCUCAACCCCGUGAUGGCAAUGGAAACAGCUAUUCUUGAGUGCAGGAGAGGAAAGUGGAAUUCCCAGUGUAGCGGUGAAAUGCGUAGAUAUUGGGAGGAACACCAGUGGCGAAGGCGACUUUCUGGACUGUGUCUGACGCUGAGGCGUGAAAGCCAGGGGAGCGAACGGGAUUAGAUACCCCGGUAGUCCUGGCCGUAAACGAUGGGUACUAGGUGUGGGAGGUAUCGACCCCCUUCCGUGCCGGAGUUAACGCAAUAAGUACCCCGCCUGGGGAGUACGGUCGCAAGACUGAAACUUAAAUGAAUUGACGGGGUCAUAGCUGUUUCC
rnacentral:rRNA from 1 species